AGAACGAACGCUGGCGGCAUGCCUAAUACAUGCAAGUCGAACGAACACUUCGGUGUUAGUGGCGCACGGGUGCGUAACGCGUGGGAAUCUGCCCUUGGGUUCGGAAUAACAGUUGGAAACGACUGCCAAUACCGGAUGAUAUCGAAAGAUCAAAGAUUUAUCGCCCAGGGAUGAGCCCGCGUAGGAUUAGCUAGUUGGUGAGGUAAAGGCUCACCAAGGCGACGAUCCUUAGCUGGUCUGAGAGGAUGAUCAGCCACACUGGGACUGAGACACGGCCCAGACUCCUACGAGAGCA
rnacentral:rRNA from 1 species